rnacentral:tRNA from 1 species
GGAAGCCAAGCCAAAUCGGUAUGGCAGCAGUCCUGAAAACUGUCGCGCCGCAAAGCGCAUAUAGGUUCGAGUCCUGUGUCUUCCGCCA